UACGUAGGGGGCUAGCGCUAUCCGGAAUUACUGGGCGUAAAGGGUGCGUAGGUGGUUUCUUAAGUCAGAGGUGAAAGGCUACGGCUCAACCGUAGUAAGCCUUUGAAACUGGGAAACUUGAGUGCAGGAGAGGAGAGUGGAAUUCCUAGUGUAGCGGUGAAAUGCGUAGAUAUUAGGAGGAACACCAGUUGCGAAGGCGGCUCUCUGGACUGUAACUGACACUGAGGCACGAAAGCGUGGGGAGCAAACAGGAUUAGAUACCCGCGUAGUCCCUGA
rnacentral:rRNA from 1 species